UACGUAGGGUGCGAGCGUUGUCCGGAAUUAUUGGGCGUAAAGAGCUCGUAGGCGGUGUGUCGCGUCGGCCGUGAAAACCUGCAGCUUAACUGUGGCGUGCGGUCGAUACGGGCAUCACUGGAGUUCGGCAGGGGAGACUGGAAUUCCUGGUGUAGCGGUGAAAUGCGCAGAUAUCAGGAGGAACACCGGUGGCGAAGGCGGGUCUCUGGGCCGAUACUGACGCUGAGGAGCGAAAGCGUGGGGAGCGAACAGG
rnacentral:rRNA from 1 species